UACGGAGGGUGCGAGCGUUGUCCGGAAUCACUGGGCGUAAAGGGCGCGUAGGUGGCGCCAUAAGUCGGGUGUGAAAUCUCGGGGCUUAACUCCGAAACUGCAUUCGAUACUGUGGUGCUUGAGGACUGGAGAGGAGACUGGAAUUCAUGGUGUAGCAGUGAAAUGCGUAGAGAUCAUGAGGAAGACCAGUGGCGAAGGCGGGUCUCUGGACAGUUCCUGACACUGAGGCACGAAGGCCAGGGGAGCAAACGGGG
rnacentral:rRNA from 1 species